rnacentral:sRNA from 1 species
AAUGGCAUUGCUGUCAAGCACAGAAAUGAAGUUUAAGAUUUAAGUAAUAAGUGGCGACUCAGAAAGGGUCAGGGAACCUUAGAGUGUAAUCCAGACAGAUAUAAGUUGGCUUGAUUGUGAAAUGGACCAUCCUGACAGUUAAUGGAGGAUACUUGAAAAGCUAGGCAGAAAUGAUCUACAGUGACCGUGCGACUGCAUUUGCCUCCAGACUUGUCAGACACAGUGAGCCGCUCAAGCAAAAUGGAUCUGGCAGAAUCCGCCAAGCGGCUGGGCCCAGGCUGUGGCAUGAUGGCCGGAGGCAAGAAGCACCUGGACUUCUAGGGAUUCCUCCUUAGUCGCUGCAUGCAGAAUUCUAUGACACUCUAAUUAUGAUUGCUAAUAGCUUAUGUAAAUAUUUUUCUUAACAAUUUGACCCUCCACUCCUUGAAAAACACAGGAUUAUAAAAUGGUGCCAUUUCUCAUUUUUUAACUUUUUACAGAACUAGCACAGCAGAAAUACUUUUAAAUUUUUCCUUCAUGCUCUAGAGAAAAUAAUUUUAUUUUUAAAUAAACACCAAAAAAUGUCAAAAUCUCAAGAUGCCUGACAGUGGUCAUUCGUGUGUGUACUAAGGCAUUUAGUGUCAUGGUAAAGUGCAUGUCACAGCAGGUAGCAUACAAAACAUGAUGAAAUUCAAGAUUGUAUGUGAAAACAUACUUUCUCUUUAUUACAGAAACAGUCACUUGCCACCAAAAAUGCUGUUUUUUAAAUGAAAAUGUGUUUACUAAUAUAU